rnacentral:rRNA from 1 species
GUCGAGGGGCAGCAUGAAAGUUUGCUUGCAAACUUUUGAUGGCGACCGCCUCACGGGUGAGUAACACGUAUCCAACCUGCCUCAUACUCGGGGAUAGCCUUUCGAAAGAAAGAUUAAUACCCGAUGUCAUAGUCCUACCGCAUGAUGGGACUAUUAAAGAAUUUCGGUAUGGGAUGGGGAUGCGUUCCAUUAGUUAGUUGGCGGGGUAACGGCCCACCAAGACAACGAUGGAUAGGGGUUCUGAGAGGAAGGUCCCCCACAUUGGAACUGAGACACGGUCCAAACUCCUACGGGAGGCAGCAGUGAGGAAUAUUGGUCAAUGGACGAGAGUCUGAACCAGCCAAGUAGCGUGAAGGAUGACUGCCCUAUGGGUUGUAAACUUCUUUUAUAUGGGAAUAAAAUGUUCCACGUGUGGGAUUUUGUAUGUACCAUAUGAAUAAGGAUCGGCUAACUCCGUGCCAGCAGCCGCGGUAAUACGGAGGAUCCGAGCGUUAUCCGGAUUUAUUGGGUUUAAAGGGAGCGUAGGUGGAUUGUUAAGUCAGUUGUGAAAGUUUGCGGCUCAACCGUAAAAUUGCAGUUGAAACUGGCAGUCUUGAGUACAGUAGAGGUGGGCGGAAUUCGUGGUGUAGCGGUGAAAUGCUUAGAUAUCACGAAGAACUCCGAUUGCGAAGGCAGCUCACUGGACUGCAACUGACACUGAGGCUCGAAAGUGUGGGUAUCAAACAGGAUUAGAUACCCUGGUAGUCCACACAGUAAACGAUGAAUACUCGCUGUUUGCGAUAUACUGCAAGCGGCCAAGCGAAAGCAUUAAGUAUUCCACCUGGGGAGUACG